rnacentral:lncRNA from 1 species
UCUCAAAUUCUCAAUGAAGGUGCGAUAUUUUAAAUUAAGGUACAGAAAAAGAAAUCUUCUCCAAAUUCAAAUUUCUUAAAAAAAGACAUAUUUGUCUCUAGCAACAAAAAAAGGAAGAAAAAGGACAAAUAAAAGACCAUGUCGUUUGGAGAUCAAAAUAUCUUUCCUAUGGCAAAAAUCUCAAAAAAGCUUUAUGAUUAAAAUUUAAAAUGAAUCAUACUUGAAAAAUUUUCAGGGACUUCCUUCCCUCAAGCAUGGAAAAUCGUAUACUGAGACCGUCCUAUCGGGAGAGGCCUCAUAAACGGUUCCAGUAACAUUUCAUUUGAUGAUAUUUAAUCAAACAAAAGUCUGACUUGCUAACGAGGAGCCGAAAAAUUUAUUUCUUGACUUGAAUGGCUCUAACAAAGCUUGUUAACCACCAAAGGUUUAGGUUUGACAUC